rnacentral:rRNA from 1 species
UAAGGAAUUUUGGACAAUGGACGCAAGUCUGAUCCAGCCAUGCCGCGUGCGGGAAGAAGGCCUUCGGGUUGUAAACCGCUUUUGUCAGGGAAGAAACGAGUUUCUCUAAUACAGAGACUUAAUGACGGUACCUGAAGAAUAAGCACCGGCUAACUACGUGCCAGCAGCCGCGGUAAUACGUAGGGUGCAAGCGUUAAUCGGAAUUACUGGGCGUAAAGCGUGCGCAGGCGGUUAUGCAAGACAGAGGUGAAAUCCCCGGGCUCAACCUGGGAACUGCCUUUGUGACUGCAUAGCUAGAGUACGGUAGAGGGGGAUGGAAUUCCGCGUGUAGCAGUGAAAUGCGUAGAUAUGCGGAGGAACACCGAUGGCGAAGGCAAUCCCCUGGACCUGUACUGACGCUCAUGCACGAAGGCGUGGGGAGCAAACA